GAUGAACGCUGGCGGCGUGCCUCAAACAUGCAAGUCGAGCGGGGCUAUGUAAUAUCGCAAGGUAGAACAUAGCCUAGCGGCGAACGGGUGAGUAACACGUGGGUAACCUGCCUGGAAGACAGGGAUAACGAUUCGAAAGGGUCGCUAAUACCUGAUAAUAUCCUUUCAUCGCAUGGUGAUAGGAAGAAAGGGGAAACCCGCUUUCAGAUGGGCCCGCGUCCCAUCAGCUAGUUGGUAAGGUAAAGGCUUACCAAGGCGACGACGGGUAGCCGGUCUGAGAGGAUGUACGGCCACACUGGGACUGAGAUACGGCCCAGACUCCUACGGGAGGCAGCAGUUGGGAAUCUUAGGCAAUGGACGAAAGUCUGACCUAGCGACGCCGCGUGAGGGAAGAAGGCCUUCGGGUUGUAAACCUCUGUCAUGGGGGAAGAAGUAAGUGACGGUACCCCCAAGAGGAAGCCCCUGCUAACUACGUG
rnacentral:rRNA from 1 species